rnacentral:pre_miRNA from 1 species
UUAACUCAAACUUGUAUGGAGUGGGAACGUUUGCCUACAUUUGCCGCUAGGGGCGCUGUUCCAACUUCAUACAAAGCCCUUCCAGUUU